AUUUCUCAAUCGUUUCUCAAUCGUUCUAGAUUUCUCAGUUCGAAUUUGCGAACUGGUUUCAAUGGAUCUGCCGUGAUUCUAGGGUUUUGCUCAUUCUAGGAGAGAAGCGGUGGUAAUCGAGUGACGACGGGGCAGUGAAUGGCGAUGAUAAUUGGGGUUCUACGUUUUUGUUUUUGAUAAGUAAUUGGGGUUUUAUCUCAUUGGUUCCUAAUUUUUUGCUUUUUCUUACUGAUUCAUAUUUUGGUCUAUAUCUAAUGGAUUCUCUCACUCUAUAACAAAUUAGUAAAUUUUUUGAAGAAUGACCAUCUAGCAUAGUUAAAAAAUUACUUUGCAUUUCCAUUUUUUCUUACCCCGUAGGUUGAUUAUCCUACCUAUUGAGCCAAAAAGGUUAAAUAGAUGUUAGAGAGUCUAAUUCUCAGAAUAUAAACUUUUAUCAGCCCUUCUUUUAAGAUGCCACUUUGAUGUCUAGCAAACAAGAAGUUUACUAGUGAGAGGGGGAAAUAAUCAGCUAUAAUUUAUGCACUUGUAAAAUCAUAACUUUGAACUUUAGAUAAAUGACACCUAGUAGGUAUGCUCAAUUGGGAACAAGUGCUUCGUGCAAGUUAUGCAAUCUGUGGAUGCCAACAAAGUUGAAUGCUUUGCAGAAAAUCUAUGAGGUAAGAAUUUUGGGCAAGUGACAAACAACAAUGUCAUAAAAUGAGUGUAGUUCAUAUGGGGAUACUAAGAUGGUUUCAAGGGAAAAUGAUUGAAUUAGUACACUCCCACAAUGGUUCAUUCAAUGGGAAUAUACAGGGGAGUCCUCUCGAUGUAAUAUAUGCUGGUUGCAUCCCAGUGUAGAGAAAUGAAGUUAGUUGAUUUUGAGUUGUGAAACAAAGGUAUCUCCUAUGUUUGAUUUUCUUUUUGACAAGUCAAAAGCUUUAGCUCUACUUUGUUGGCCUGUUAUGGUUGUCAAGUCUGGUCUGGAAGUAGCAGGACAAUUAUGCUGCUAUUAUGUACAAAUGACGGGGGUACUAUGCUGAUUGGUGGUUCAUUAUAUGUGUUUCACUCCUCUCGCUUAAUACUACUAGCUAAUUUGCUCUGGUGGUUUGUGUAAUGAUAAUUGGUGAUAACUCUUAUUUCUGCUCUUCAUAUUCUUGUACGAUUUGACUAUUUCUUUUAGCGCAGUAUUGCAGCAUGUCAGAGUUGGGCCCUUUUUCCCCUCUGUGGGUGGCUUCCUACGAGGGAACUGUACAUGUUUGGAACAGCCAAACAGGGAAGCUAAUAUCUAUAUUUUCUGAAUCAUCUAUGAGCUAUGUGCAUGCUUUGAGCCCUUUAACUUCUCCAUCAAAGAUAAAUGUUGAUCAUUCCAAUAUGCUGAAUUCCAAUCCCGUUGUCCGCUACAUUUGAUGGGAGUGUGUACACUUGAAUGCAUCACUUGCAGUUAAAUGAAAAGCUUGUAGUUGGCACAUGAAAUGGUUCACUCAGGUAUGCACUUAUUUUAGAGUCAAAUUUCUAUUCUUAGCUGAUACAUAAAGAGCUUAAGAUUAGGAAGAUGAGAAGUUCUUCAUGUGCAGUUUGGUCCCUUUUAAUGGUACUAUUUCGUGCAAGUUCAAUGAUGUUCCGUGAGAUCAAAAACUUCAUCUCUGGGAGAUUGAAUUUGGAGAAUCCAGUUUGCCUUCUCUCAUUUUUUUCCAUAUUUGCAUGUGGUUCUAACGAGAUGCAAGCUGAUGGAGAUAUAUUCUAUUGUAUUGGUUGGACUUCAAUUGAAGUUUUUUCUCUAAGUACUAGAUAACUCUUUUUUUGUAUCAAGACAUGUAUAGCUAGGCAACUUAGUUUUGAGAGAUUUGAAAUAUGAUCUCUUUGCAAAUGUGUUAGCAAGUGGAGGAUAGUUAGCUACUGUAUUUUUAUACUUAAAAUUAUUGAUAUUGAAUGAUAUAAGUCUCCGGUAUUUUUAUACUUAAAAUAGCCUUACAUGUGGGGCUAUUUUUAUACUUAAAUUAGCUACUGUAUUUUUAUACUUAAAUUAGCCUUACAUGUGGGGCUAUUAAGUGAGGUUAUCCUUAACCGUUGUGUUUUACUGCAUCCUAAAACCUACAUUAUUGCUAAAUGGGUGAAUGUUGAUCUUAGUUGUUCAUUUAUGCAGCUAUAUCCUUGUUAACUAUUGGUAUAUUUGAGAUUUCAGUGCAUACUUGCCAAAAUCGAAGUUCUAUUGUUCUAUUGUUCAAUUCAUAUUGAUGUUUGGUUGGCUAUUUGUAAUUUCAAUUCAUAUUGAUGUUGUCUUCCGCUCUAUGUAGGUCUGCGGCUUGAAAGAGAAAUUAAUGGUCUGUAAUUUUUUGUCGGAGAUGUAGAUACGAUCUUGCCAGUGCUCGUUGGAACUACAAAGCCUACCGUUCUUAUGAUACAUGUUCUCGUACUGAUAUUCUUGUAUAUAAGUUUAGCAUAGUAUUUGAUACUGGAUCAACUUUUGUUAUUUUGGAGAUGUAAUGCUUUGAACAUAUUGCUAAGGAAUGAGUAAUAAAUUGUGUCCUUCAGUUUCUAUGAGUAAAUUUGUAUGAGCUUGCUAUGAAAUGCCAUUCAAGUUUUUGA